rnacentral:rRNA from 1 species
CGGUAAUUCCAGCUCCAAUAGCGUAUAUUAAAGUUGUUGCAGUUAAGAAGCUCGUAGUCGAAUUUCGGAUUUGGCCUACUGGUCUACCUUAUGGUCAGUACUGGUUAGGCUGGAUCUUACCUUCUGGGGAACUAUCAUGCUCUUUAUUGAAUGUGAUUGGGAACCAGGACAUUUACUUUGAAAAAAUUAGAGUGUUUAAGGCAGGCUUAUGCUUGAAUACAUUAGCAUGGAAUAAUGAAAUAGGACUUUGGUUCUAUUUUGUUGGUUUCUAGGACCAAAGUAAUGAUCAAUAGGAACAGUUGGGGGCAUUAGUAUUGAGACGUUAGAGGUGAAAUUCUUGGAUCGUCUCAAGACUAACUACUGCGAAAGCAUUUGCCAAGGAUGUUUUCACUGAUCAAGAACGAAAGUUAGGGGAUCGAAGACGAUCAGAUACCGUCGUAGUCUUAACCAUAAACUAUGCCGACUAGGGAUCAGUGAAUGUUAAUUAACCGACUUCAUUGGCACCUUAUGAGAAAUCAAAGUUUUUGGGUUCCGGGGGGAGUAUG